UAUAGAUGUGUGCAUGUGUGGGUAUAUCUGCAGCCUGAUAUCCGCGCGAAGCGCGAACAACGGUACUACUAGCUUUUAGCCGGAUACUUAACAUUAAUCUUCAUACCAACUUUUGCAGGUGUUUAAAAUCAUCUCGAGGAAGAAGGAGGAGAAAGAAAAAGAAGAAGAAGAAGACGACGAUGACGAAGACGAAGAAAAAGGAGAAGAAGACGAAGAAAAAAACCAACAGAUAGAAUCUGCGAAACAUCUGCACUGAUGAGGCCCAACGUAAUAACGAGCCACAGUGUACCAGUAGCGGCGACUAUGAGACAUCGCCGGCAAAGAUGAAUAUUGUCACCAAGCUGUCAAGUAGCCGUCUUUUGGAUGUCAUUGCCGGUCAAGCAGCACCAACGGCACUUCAAAGUUUGCAUGCAGUCUGAUGAUUCACCAGCAAUUUGGGCACCUCAGGCACCCUGAAUCUGAUUUCAUGAUAUAGAUAGAAGAAUACUAGAAGAUUAUAUACAAGGAUAUAUUAACGCAAGGAAAGAUACAACACACUAAUCGAUGAGCAGCAUGGGUUUGAACCACAACAAAGUUGAGAGACUCAGCUGCCCACAGCGUCACAUGAACUAGCAGAGUCAUUCUCAACUAAUGAGGGAAGACAGACUGACUUAAUCAUACUGGACUUCAGCAAGACAUUUGAUCUACCAGUCUCUGAGCUGCAUUGAACCACUAAGAGACAUUCUACCAGUGACUCAGGUCAUUCUGUUCAAACAGAAGCUGACGAUUCUUCCCACGUUACAUGUUACAAACUACUAAAGCCGAGGCACAGGAUUAGAAAAUCUUCAUACAGGAGCCGUAGUUGUUGCUGCCAAUGCCAUGGUUUCCCUAUAAACUUGUAAAGGCCCUUUCUGAGUACACCCUAGUGAUGGCUGAGGCUGUGCCGGUUGGGUUUCGCACCCAGUGGCCGCUACGGUAGCCGGAUUGGCUCAGACUUGAAGGGACGAAAGGAAGUGGGCAAACUGACUUUACAUUAAACCAUGGCGUGCGACGACUGCACAUCUUGAUUCCACGUCGGAUUUAUGAAGAUGGCAUCGGCUGUUAUCCUUCUUUCAUCCCAUCGGAUGUGUCAAGGAUCUGGUGUGGCUGAAGGGUACCUAACUUUGCCACUCAACAUCAGUGUUUUCGCCUUUCCCAGUCUGCUCAUCGUCUGAUACUUCACAUAUCACCAUUGGUUAUGAAGACUUGUGUGUUGGGUGGACAGGUAUUGAGCAAGGCAUAUCAGAGAGAGAAGAGGAAUAAUUGGUGCCAAGGUGCUAGGUCAUGAAGCUGGGAUUGGAGCAUGCUAACAUUUUGGACAGGAGACCCGGGACAGGAGAGGAGACUCACGAAAAGAGAGGAGCCCAGGACAGGACAGGAGACCCAGGACAGGACAGGAGACCGAGGACAGGACAGGAGCACCAACUACCAUUUAUUGAGAAGCUGCAAACACUGCCACUCCUGAGUACUAGCGCGUGCCAGCACACUUAUGUACUAGGUUUUCGUCAAGCUGACAGAAGUUGUAAGUGUGUAAAUCAUUGAUGCUAGAACUGUUGUAUAAAUGCACAUUGUUACCGUCAAGUUGUCUAGCU
rnacentral:lncRNA from 1 species